GCGGGAUUAGUACAGUGGCAGUACGCCACCUUGCCAAGGUGGAGGCGCGAGUUCGAUUCUCGUCUCCCGCUCCA
rnacentral:tRNA from 1 species